AGUGAACGCUGGCGAUAGGCCUAACACAUGCAAGUCGAACGGCAGCACAGUAAGAGCUUGCUCUUACGGGUGGCGAGUGGCGGACGGGUGAGGAAUACAUCGGAAUCUACUUUUUCGUGGGGGAUAACGUAGGGAAACUUACGCUAAUACCGCAUACGACCUACGGGUGAAAGCAGGGGAUCUUCGGACCUUGCGCGAUUGAAUGAGCCGAUGUCGGAUUAGCUAGUUGGCGGGGUAAAGGCCCGCCAAGGCGACGAUCCGUAGCUGGUCUGAGAGGAUGAUCAGCCACACUGGAACUGAGACACGGUCCAGACUCCUACGGGAGGCAGCAGUGGGGAAUAUUGGACAAUGGGCGCAAGCCUGAUCCAGCCAUACCGCGUGGGUGAAGAAGGCCUUCGGGUUGUAAAGCCCUUUUGUUGGGAAAGAAAAGCAGCAGGUUAAUACCCCGCUGUUCUGACGGUACCCAAAGAAUAAGCACCGGCUAACUUCGUG
rnacentral:rRNA from 1 species